UACGGGGGGGGCAAGCGUUGUUCGGAAUUACUGGGCGUAAAGGGCUCGUAGGCGGCCAACUAAGUCGGAUGUGAAAUCCCCAGGCUUAACCUGGGAACUGCAUCCGAUACUGGAUGGCUUGAAUCCGGGAGAGGGAUGCAGAAUUCCAGGUGUAGCGGUGAAAUGCGUAGAUAUCAGGAGGAACACCGGUGGCGAAGGCGGCUAUCUGGACAGUAACCGACGCUGAGGCGCGAAAGCUAGGGGAGCAAACAGG
rnacentral:rRNA from 1 species